AAUGUUUGCAACUCCUGCAAUAACUGAGGGUUCUUGCAGAAGUAGAUAUUCCAAAUUGACUGCUGCGUUGUACGGACCGACUCUCACAAAAGGAUCGGCUACUGACAAGGUCACUUGAAGAUAAAAACACGUUUGACAAGUGAAGAACAC